rnacentral:rRNA from 1 species
AUUGAACGCUGGCGGCAGGCCUAACACAUGCAAGUCGAACGAGUGGCGGACGGGUGAGUAAUGUCUGGGAAACUGCCCGAUGGAGGGGGAUAACUACUUGAACCUGUAGCUAAUACCGCAUACCAUCGUAUGUGCCCACAUGGGAUUAGCUUGUAGGUGAGGUAACGGCUCACCUAGACGCCGAUCCCUAGCUGGUAUGAGAGGAUGACCAGCCGCACUGGAAGUAAGACACGGUGCAGACUCCGACGGGAGGUAGCGGUGGGGAAUAUUGCGCAAUUGGGUGUAGCCUGAUGCAGCCAUGCCGCGUGUAUGAAGAAGGCCUUCGGGUGGUAAAUUCCUUUCAGCUGGGAGGCGUUGGCCGAAGAAGAAGCACCGGCUAACUCCGUGCCAGCAGCAGCGGUAAUUC